GGGAAAAGGCCCAUAGGAAUGUUCUCUGCACAAGGAGAAAACAUAAGAAAUGCUUUAUGAAAGGACACCACAGCUUUUAUCACUUGCCAUUCACUUACGCAGGAUCUUUUUGAACUACUAUAGAAAGCAGUGUGGAUGGAACAAUUGGAAGAAAUCGGGAGUAUUUUGUGAUCAAAGGCAAAGGUCAAAGAUUGGUGGACCUGGUGCCAACGUUGAAGAAGCAGGAGCUACUGUAGC